UUAUUACUCCCUCCGUCCGGAAAUACUUGUCAUCAAAAUGGAUGAAAAUAGAUGUAUCUAGAACUAAAAUACAUCUAGAUACAUCCAUUUCAAUGACAAGUAUUUCCGGACGGAGGGAGUACUUG
rnacentral:pre_miRNA from 1 species